UAUUUUCUCAACCCAAACGUUGGGUUGAGGCUGUCAGGGCAUUUUGUGGGGUUGUUUUGACUCAUGUUGGGUUAUUUUCUGUAACCCAGCUUGUUGGGUUGAUAGUUUAGAACAGCGCCCCUCCUCUCUCCCACCCGACGUGGAGUACACUACCCAGCACCUGGGUGACUUUAACACAGCUGCAUAGUUAUUUGAGAAUUCGAAAAAACAUCGUUAUUCUUCCAACCGUCCAGUCCACCAGCUGUCAGCAUGCAAUGGAAAUCAGGCGAUUUCGUAAGGUGUGAUCCCCAAAACGGACGGUGGAAUCUGCCUGCCUUCAUGGAAGUAUCACAAGCUUUUUCUAGCUAUCUGUUCAAAAAAUAAACUGCAAAAUAAAUAAAUGUCGAACUG